rnacentral:rRNA from 1 species
UAAUUCUAGAGCUAAUACAUGCUGGUAGGCCCGACUUUUGCGGAAGGGCGGUAUUUAUUAGAUAACAAGCCAAUAUUCCUCUGGUCUAUUGUGGUGACUCAUAGUAACUUAAUCGGAUCGCAUGGGCUUGUCCCGCGACAAACCAUUCAAGUUUCUGCCCCAUCAUGCUUUCGAUGGUAGUGUAUUGGACUACCAUGGCUUUCACGGGUAACGGAGGAUUAGGGUUCGAUUCCGGAGAGGGAGCCUGAGAAACGGCUACCACUUCCACGGAAGGCAGCAGGCGCGUAAAUUACCCAAUCCUGAUUCAGGGAGGUAGUGACAAGAAAUAACGGGUCGGGGUUUUGCCCCGGGACU